GCCUCAAGGAAAACCACCGUCACUUCUCGGCUGGGAAGUGCUGAGCAAAGGAUUUGCACACACUUAGGACAGACGGAACGCGGCAGAAGAACAAGGGAUUCCUUCCGACCUCUUGGAAGCUUCCUGAGAGCCCAGAUGGAUGAGCAAGACUCAGCUGGCCCAGAAGCAGGAAGAGGCCAUGCCAUCAACACUGGGAGCAGUGAAGGAUUCUGGGAAAACUCUGUGCAGAAGAUCCUGGGUGAGGAGGACACCUUCAGCUCAGAUGCGCAGAGAA